GGUUGUGGUGGUUUUCUUUCUUGCACAUUUGUUAAGUUUUCAAAUGGGCCCAACUCUGCCACAUAUGAAGGCUCUUCAAAACGU